CACCCCGAUCCCUGCGAGUCUACAAACUGAAGACAGGUUUGAAUUACGGAGGUAUCUUGCGCAGUGACAAGAAGGGGAAAUGAUAGAAAUCUUCCUCACAACAUGUUCCUAGCCAGGACAGCAAAUUAGGCUACAUGCUGACAGAUUUCACAGGACUGGAAAAGAUAGAGAACCCUGUCAUGAUUCCUUUCUGUAGGCCUCAAAGUUCCUUGGAUGUCUGAGUGCAAAAAGUGUGUCACUGGUGACUUUAACUCAGAUCCCUCCGUCCAGCAAGUGUGAGCCUUUCCCUUGAACUUGACUUUGAUGGCUGUGGAUGUUAAAGGAGCUGGACAUUAAAAA